UGAACGCUGGCGGCAGGCCUAACACAUGCAAGUCGAACGGUAACAGGAAGCAGCUUGCUGCUUCGCUGACGAGUGGCGGACGGGUGAGUAAUGUCUGGGAAACUGCCUGAUGGAGGGGGAUAACUACUGGAAACGGUGGCUAAUACCGCAUAACGUCGCAAGACCAAAGAGGGGGACCUUCGGGCCUCUUGCCAUCAGAUGUGCCCAGAUGGGAUUAGCUUGUUGGUGAGGUAACGGCUCACCAAGGCGACGAUCCCUAGCUGGUCUGAGAGGAUGACCAGCCACACUGGAACUGAGACACGGUCCAGACUCCUACGGGAGGCAGCAGUGGGGAAUAUUGCACAAUGGGCGCAAGCCUGAUGCAGCCAUGCCGCGUGUAUGAAGAAGGCCUUCGGGUUGUAAAGUACUUUCAGCGGGGAGGAAGGUGUUGUGGUUAAUAACCGCAGCAAUUGACGUUACCCGCAGAAGAAGCACCGGCUAACUCCGUGCCAGCAGCCGCGGUAAUACGGAGGGUGCAAGCGUUAAUCGGAAUUACUGGGCGUAAAGCGCACGCAGGCGGUCUGUCAAGUCGGAUGUGAAAUCCCCGGGCUCAACCUGGGAACUGCAUUCGAAACUGGCAGGCUUGAGUCUUGUAGAGGGGGGUAGAAUUCCAGGUGUAGCGGUGAAAUGCGUAGAGAUCUGGAGGAAUACCGGUGGCGAAGGCGGCCCCCUGGACAAAGACUGACGCUCAGGUGCGAAAGCGUGGGGAGCAAACAGGAUUAGAUACCCUGGUAGUCCACGCCGUAAACGAUGUCUACUUGGAGGUUGUGCCCUUGAGGCGUGGCUUCCGGAGCUAACGCGUUAAGUAGACCGCCUGGGGAGUACGGCCGCAAGGUUAAAACUCAAAUGAAUUGACGGGGGCCCGCACAAGCGGUGGAGCAUGUGGUUUAAUUCGAUGCAACGCGAAGAACCUUACCUGGUCUUGACAUCCACAGAACUUUCCAGAGAUGGAUUGGUGCCUUCGGGAACUGUGAGACAGGUGCUGCAUGGCUGUCGUCAGCUCGUGUUGUGAAAUGUUGGGUUAAGUCCCGCAACGAGCGCAACCCUUAUCCUUUGUUGCCAGCGAUUAGGUCGGGAACUCAAAGGAGACUGCCAGUGAUAAACUGGAGGAAGGUGGGGAUGACGUCAAGUCAUCAUGGCCCUUACGACCAGGGCUACACACGUGCUACAAUGGCGCAUACAAAGAGAAGCGACCUCGCGAGAGCAAGCGGACCUCAUAAAGUGCGUCGUAGUCCGGAUUGGAGUCUGCAACUCGACUCCAUGAAGUCGGAAUCGCUAGUAAUCGUGGAUCAGAAUGCCACGGUGAAUACGUUCCCGGGCCUUGUACACACCGCCCGUCACACCAUGGGAGUGGGUUGCAAAAGAAGUAGGUAGCUUAACCUUCGGGAGGGCGCUUACCACUUUGUGAUUCAUGACUGGGGUGAAGUCGUAACAAGGUAACCGUAGGGGAACCUGCGGUUGGAUCACCUCCUUACCUUAAAGAA
rnacentral:rRNA from 1 species